rnacentral:piRNA from 1 species
UUAUGUGUGUGCUCCCCACCCAGUGC